CCUACGGGUGGCAGCAGUGGGGAAUAUUGCACAAUGGGGGCAACCCUGAUGCAGCGACGCCGCGUGAAGGAAGAAGGACUUCGGUAUGUAAACCUCUUUCAGCAGGGAAGAAAACGACGGUACCUGUCAACGAAGCCAUGGCCAACUACGUGCCAGCAGCCGCGGUAAUACGGCGGGGGCAAGCGUUCUCCGGAUUUACUGGGUGUAAAGGGAGCGUAGGCGGUUUAGCAAGACGGAAGUGAAAGCCCCGGGCUCAACGCCGGGACUGCAUUUGAAACUGGGGACCUAGAGUGCAGGAGAGGUAGGUGGAAUUCCUGGUGUAGCGGUGAAAUGCGUAGAUAUGAGGAGGAACACCGGUGGCGAAGGCGGCUUACUGGAC
rnacentral:rRNA from 1 species